rnacentral:rRNA from 1 species
CGUGUAGGCGGUCCGGUAAGUCGGUUGUGAAAGUCGGGGGCUCAACCCUCGGAGGCCGACCGAUACUGUCGGGCUAGAGUCCGGAAGAGGCGAGUGGAAUUCCUGGUGUAGCGGUGAAAUGCGCAGAUAUCAGGAGGAACACCAAUGGCGAAGGCAGCUCGCUGGGACGGUACUGACGCUGAGACGCGAAAGCGUGGGGAGCAAACA